rnacentral:tRNA from 1 species
GCCCCGUUAGUCUAGCGGCCUAGGAUUCCAGACUUUCAAUCUGCGAGAACGUCGGUUCGAAUCCGACACGGGGUAC